rnacentral:rRNA from 1 species
UGGGGCGGGUUUACGAGGAGGUUAAGAGGGGGGUAGGGAGGGGAGAGUAGGAGAGGGAGGGACAGCGGUGAAGGUCUCGGCCGGUGGGAGUGGGGGCGGAGGGAGGGCAGGCGCGGAGCGGAAGGAGUCUCGGCCUCGAGGAGCGGUUCAGGCGCGAGGCGGCGUAGAGGCUGUUCGAGGCGUCGGAGCCUAUGGAGCUCCGGAGGGGCCUCUGGGGGCAAGGCCGGGGCCGGGGCUCGCGGCUGCGGGGCAGGGGGCCCCUCUAAAAGCACGGGUGGGGCCGGGUCGAGGGAGCGGUGGCGCAGCCGAGGUGCGAUCUGGGAUCGACCCGGUGACCGCUGCCGCUCCGCCUGCGCCGUGCCGCGUCCGUCUCCGCCCCCUCCCUACGCCGUCGCGGUGGCUGCGGUGGCAGGCGCCGCCUCGAAUGCGACGGCGCCCUGCUCGACGCCGCCGACGUCCCCCAGCCGUAGGCCGACGCAUUCUCCGAGUUCCACCCCUUCGGGCCGCAGUGUCUCCCCUAGCACUUGCCCUAUGUGCUCGCUACCGCGUUGCGCCUCGAGCACUUCUAGUCCACGCUACUGUAGAGGCGGUACUUGUACUCCGCGUGGGUGCUCCAGGAGCUCUCCUUUUGACCUCCGAACCAAUAAACCUCUAGACCUUCGUGGUAGUAUGACAUAUCUCCUUGGUUGAUAUUUAUAGGAAUGAAGGUACUGGUCGUUUUCUACCUACUAACAGAGUUCCUACUUAGUAGUCUCGUCUCGUCAAGACUACUACUACUACUUCUAGAACCAAAAAAUAGACACCUUGUUACAUCAUCACUUCACCUACCAUUCUUAGUAUGUCUUCUAUCAUAAGUAAUACUUCUACUCCGACAGCAUUUACAACGGUAUCAUAUACCUCUUGUCUCCUCAUAUCCUCUCCUUGUACUCUUAGUACUGUACAAUAGACACCCCGUCUCGCACCGGUCUUUCCUUCUACGUUUAAUAGGGUACUAUAGGAGAUUUCGCGGACAACAACUAUGUGUCCUCCCAUCUAGUCGUCACUUUUAAUUGUCACCUCGACGUUUGUUUGUCGUACGUUCUAAAGUAUAUCCGUGAUUACAUUUAGGAGGAUCACACCAGUCUGGAAAUCGAUCCAGAUGGAAUCAAUGGCCACAACCAAGAGGUUUAUUCAAGGCUAAUGUCAACGGACCCCUCCAGUUCGAACGCUUCCUGCUACUGUUUAAUAAUCUACCCGACCCAGGUGCCAAAAGACUUACCACCCCCAUACUAGGGGAAGGUCACCUACGACUAAACAACGGUCGAUAGCAAGGACCUAAGGCAUCCGGAAAGGCAGAAGAAGGAAGUCCACAUGGUGGGUUCGAUUGUCUAUCUCUUUACUGAUAGGAAUCCUCCGAUCGAGCAGGAAACGGGAUGGUGAUACGUGAACCUUCUUCGUCAUUGGAAGUUCCUAACCGACGUAGGUACUAGUUCAAUACCCUUUCCACACUCCACCGCUUCUAACGUUACUUCUCUCCAGGUAUGACGUAACUAUCACUCGAGCAGAGGCUCCUUAAUUUCCCGAACUGACCACCCUGCGAAAAUAGUUCCCUGUUGCUCAGUUAACAUGAUAUGUCCCCUUUUCUAAAGGAAGGGGGUCGACAGAGAGAACGUUAACUUUUUGCGUCUUUCGUGCUGUUAAGGCACUAGUUGUUCGGGUUCGGACUUUAACUUCUUUCGUAUGGAUGAGUUCUACGAAGACUUGACUUCUACCGUUUACUACGGAGCCAUGUGCCCGUACUUACAGUACUUCUUUUUGUACUUCCGCUUUGAAGACAAUGUCUUAUAUAUUGACUUAGAGAUUUAUGUCAACGGCUCUUGUACCUUUGGUCUAAUAUAGUCCGAUAUCGUCUCUUUUUCUUCCGACUUUUUGAAGAACUCCUCGAUCUUUUCCGUAGAACCGGAAGUUUUCGACUUUGUUCUCUCCGGUAGAGUCUUCUCCUCUCCAUGUACAACUCCUUUCAACCAAACGUCUACUUCGGUAAAGACGACGAUCCUUCCUCUCCUCAAAAACUACCUUGUUAACUUUUAUACGUGGAAGUAACCUUCAUAGCUCUUGAACAGUUCUAAUAUACAUUUCUUGUGUCGUACCUUCUACAAUGUAUACGACGAGCUUGGGAUCUUCGACUCUCACCACCAUAAAACCACCGUCACCUCUCUCACUCGUUUCCUGUACGUUAAUAUUACAUAGCUCCCUUCUUGAUGGUCUCCGGCAGUCGAGAGUCCGGUUUUAGAAACAACUUAUUUUUCCUACGAGACUUCGCAAGACAUCUCGAAGUCGCGGUGUUCAGGAACUUCGAAGUGCAUGAAUUAGAUAGUUUCUUGUAGCUGAUGAACUCCCCAGUCUACGUUUGCCUCCCAGUAGGUCACCGAAACAGAUUAGUCUACUUGAGUCCGGUACUUUUGUUUCCGUACGUACUAGAGACACUGUUGAGACCUUGUAGUCCCCUCUGUUCGUUUACGGACUUCAACGAGGACUCACAAAACUCGGUCUCCCACUUCUCACGUCAAGUCCACCUUGUUUAUCUUAGAACUUAUGUUGGUCUUGACCUCAAGGAAAUCUACUAUGUGUCUUCUUCAAUACAAACUUGCUCGAAUUUCUACUAAGGAGACUCCGAAACUCCGGUACGGACUAACUCUCAAGUUCAUGUCGAAGUAGUCUAUUAGUCUAGCUUAUAGUUUUAGCCGACUCGAAAGGACAUCUUACGGUAAGUCUGUCACCAUCGCUUCUCCUAAGGUUUCAGAAGUUUUGGGAAUCGGGAAGGGUCCGUGACCUACUCGGCUAUAACCAGGUCUGUAUAUGAGGAGUGAACGGAAGGUUUCGACGUGGAGAUAGCUUAGCCCUCUCUGAACACGAUUCCUUCGUUCGAGACGUUCACUUCUUUGCCGGUCAUGAACGGUAACCCUCCUUAUUACAGUAGUGGCCUCAACGUUUUUGUUAUGCCUGUGUGAAGUUUUUCGUAGGAGAACGACAACACUUAUAAUUCUUGUCUCGUCUACCUUGUGGUCAGGUUGUCGACUAUAGUCUUGAUCUCCUCCGCUGUCCUAGCCAAGAGCACAGUGCUCUUGGUUUGUUUCACUAAAACAUGUCUCCGACCCCUCGCCUGCACUGGCUCUGUUCAAGGUCCCUUCUGUCGUGUUAACUCCCCCUUUUCCUCCACUAUAGUGGUGUCGAGGAACUUCGGUAGUCUAAUCUUACACCUGACGUGGGUCCACUUAGUGUUAUCGACCUAGGACCUGUUUGAGGAUCACAAAAAACUUCUACUGGGAGGAUACAACACCAUGUUUGCUUGUAACUCACAUAAGAGUAGGCGGAUGAACAUUUAGAACAUGCAGACACUUCGGAAAAUUGCUUGAAACGGUGUUGGUUUUAGUCUAGAGCACCUUUGAGAGUCGUCAAUCUUAGGCUGUCUUUUAACUUUGACGAACACGGUAGACGACCUUAGCUCGUUUUCACGCUAAAAAAAAACCUAGCUCGUUUUUUACGCUAACCGACUCGUUUGGGAAAGGGGGGUAGUAAACACGACAACUUUUUCUGAAAGCGACUACCGUGUCAUGUGUCCAUGUUCUACGACGCUGUUUACCGUUACUAGACAAACGACUAAACAGCAGUGAUGGCUGUGGUUUGGGACAACAAGGACAACUGUCUGUUUAACGGGCCGGGCCCUACGGACUGGAGAAGAACAGGAGGCGUCCAACACUUAAGCUGAUCUUCGCUGAAGACUGUAACUUAUGGUUAUCUACGACAGAGACUAACAUGAUAUGAAAUAGCUACGGACUGUUUAAUACGUCUCUGACC